rnacentral:rRNA from 1 species
UCGCCGGCGACCGGCGCACGGGUGAGUAACACGUAUGCAACCUGGCCGUGACAGAUGGAUAACCGGGAGAAAUCCCGCCUAAUACAACAUAAUGCCGGGAGGGGACAUCCCCUGCCGGCCAAAGGGGCGACCCCGGUCACGGAUGGGCAUGCGGCGCAUUAGGUAGUUGGUGGGGGCAACGGCCCACCAAGCCGACGAUGCGUAGGGGUUCUGAGAGGAAGGUCCCCCACCAUUGGAACUGAGACACGGUCCAAACUCCUACGGAAGGCAGCAG